rnacentral:rRNA from 1 species
ACGCUGGCGGCGUGCCUAAUCAUGCAAGUCGAGCGGACAGAUGGGAGCUUGCUCCCUGAUGUUAGCGGCGGACGGGUGAGUAACACGUGGGUAACCUGCCUGUAAGACUGGGAUAACUCCGGGAAACCGGGGCUAAUACCGGAUGCUUGAUUGAACCGCAUGGUUCAAUUAUAAAAGGUGGCUUUUAGCUACCACUUACAGAUGGACCCGCGGCGCAUUAGCUAGUUGGUGAGGUAACGGCUCACCAAGGCAACGAUGCGUAGCCGACCUGAGAGGGUGAUCGGCCACACUGGGACUGAGACACGGCCCAGACUCCUACGGGAGGCAGCAGUAGGGAAUCUUCCGCAAUGGACGAAAGUCUGACGGAGCA